rnacentral:rRNA from 1 species
UACGUAGGGGGCAAGCGUUAUCCGGAAUUACUGGGUGUAAAGGGAGAGUAGGCGGUAUGAUAAGUAAGAUGUGAAAGCCCGGGGCUUAACCUCGGGAUUGCAUUUUAAACUAUCAAACUAGAGUACAGGAGAGGUAAGUGGAAUUCCUAGUGUAGCGGUGAAAUGCGUAGAUAUUAGGAAGAACACCAGUGGCGAAGGCGACUUACUGGACUGAAACUGACGCUGAGGCUCGAAAGCGUGGGGAGCGAACAGG